AGUCGAGCGGAUGAGAGGAGCUUGCUCCUCGAUUCAGCGGCGGACGGGUGAGUAAUGCCUAGGAAUCUGCCUGGUAGUGGGGGACAACGUUUCGAGAGGAACGCUAAUACCGCAUACGUCCUACGGGAGAAAGCAGGGGACCUUCGGGCCUUGCGCUAUCAGAUGAGCCUAGGUCGGAUUAGCUAGUUGGUGAGGUAAUGGCUCACCAAGGCGACGAUCCGUAACUGGUCUGAGAGGAUGAUCAGUCACACUGGAACUGAGACACGGUCCAGACUCCUACGGGAGGCAGCAGUGGGGAAUAUUGGACAAUGGGCGAAAGCCUGAUCCAGCCAUGCCGCGUGUGUGAAGAAGGUCUUCGGAUUGUAAAGCACUUUAAGUUGGGAGGAAGGGUUGUUUCCUAAUACGAAGCAAUUUUGACGUUACCGACAGAAUAAGCACCGGCUAACUCUGUGCCAGCAGCCGCGGUAAUACAGAGGGUGCAAGCGUUAAUCGGAAUUACUGGGCGUAAAGCGCGCGUAGGUGGUUUGUUAAGUUGAAUGUGAAAUCCCCGGGCUCAACCUGGGAACUGCAUCCAAAACUGGCAAGCUAGAGUAGGGUAGAGGGUGGUGGAAUUUCCUGUGUAGCGGUGAAAUGCGUAGAUAUAGGAAGGAACACCAGUGGCGAAGGCGACCACCUGGACUCAUACUGACACUGAGGUGCGAAAGCGUGGGGAGCAAACAGGAUUAGAUACCCUGGUAGUCCACGCCGUAAACGAUGUCAACUAGCCGUUGGGAGUCUUGAACUCUUAGUGGCGCAGCUAACGCAUUAAGUUGACCGCCUGGGGAGUACGGCCGCAAGGUUAAAACUCAAAUGAAUUGAC
rnacentral:rRNA from 1 species